UGGGGAAUAUUGGACAAUGGGCGCAAGCCUGAUCCAGCCAUGCCGCGUGAGUGAUGAAGGCCCUAGGGUUGUAAAGCUCUUUCACCGGUGAAGAUAAUGACGGUAACCGGAGAAGAAGCCCCGGCUAACUUCGUGCCAGCAGCCGCGGUAAUACGAAGGGGGCUAGCGUUGUUCGGAUUUACUGGGCGUAAAGCGCACGUAGGCGGACUUUUAAGUCAGGGGUGAAAUCCCGGGGCUCAACCCCGGAACUGCCUUUGAUACUGGAAGUCUUGAGUAUGGUAGAGGUGAGUGGAAUUCCGGGUGUAGAGGUGAAAUUCGUAGAUAUUCGGAGGAACACCAGUGGCGAAGGCGGCUCACUUGACCAUUACUGCCGCUGAGGUGCGAAAGCGUGGGGAGCAAACAGG
rnacentral:rRNA from 1 species